GGACCAUCAUGUCGGUCGUGCCUCGGUACGUACUGGUAUAGUUGGUUUCUCCCUUCUGACGAACCAUGAUGUCAUUAAUUUGGUGUCUUGGGGAAUCAGGACUGUUACUUUGAAAAAAUUAGAGUGUUUAAAGCAGGCUCACGCUUGAAUACAUUAGCAUGGAAUAAUGAAAUAGGACGUUUGAUUCUAUUUUGUUGGUUUCCAGGAUCGAUGAA
rnacentral:rRNA from 1 species